UUGCUACUCCCUCCGUUACAUAAUUCUUGUCUCAAAUUUACCUAAAAAUGGACAUAUCUAUUCAUAAAAAAUGUCUAGAUAUAUCUAAUAUUUCGACAAGAAUUAUGGGAUGGAGAGAGUAUGUA
rfam:Brachypodium distachyon strain Bd21 chromosome 1, whole genome shotgun sequence.